rnacentral:lncRNA from 1 species
UAUUUCGUUUUGCAGAAUUUGCUGUCUACCUGCAGCCCUUCAGAUUGGCAACUGCUUUUGUACUCUGGCGGACUGAGCUUUUAGCUAACGUCUAGAAUUGAUUUAAAUUGCUUGCCGUCAGGAUUGGCUUGGAUAUCCUGUGCCACAGUUUUAACGAAGCACCACUUAUUAUUACAGGUAAGCUUGUAAAUAUGUCCUGAACAUAGGUUCAUUCAAUUGACUGCCAGUCCAACUUUCACAACCUCCUGUGGGCUCUUGGUGGUUUUUACCAGUAAUUA